UUAGGAAUCUUCCGCAAUGGGCGAAAGCCUGACGGAGCGAUACCGCUUGAAGGACGAAGCCCCUCGGGGUGUAAACUUCUGAACUGGGGACGAUGAUGACGGUACCCAGGUAAUAGCACCGGCUAACUCCGUGCCAGCAGCCGCGGUAAUACGGAGGGUGCGAGCGUUACCCGGAUUUACUGGGUGUAAAGGGCGUGUAGGCGGUCUCUUAAGUCCGAUGCUAAAGACCAAGG
rnacentral:rRNA from 1 species